GCUGAAUCAUGAAAAGAUUGUAGAAGCUUUAAAGAUGAACUUAUUUCUAAGACAGCUUAGGUUCCAAAAAAAGAGAAUAGAGGUCCAAUUAAGAUUUCUACCAAUAAUCUUGAUCAAAUCACUAAAGUAGAAACUUUUCUUAAAAAAAUUAUUGAAUAUCUAGAAUAGGUUGAGAAACCAAAGGACUGUAUGGAAUAUUCUCUCAACCUUAAAGAAACUCAGACUAAUAGCCUUCUAAAAGAAUUUGAAGUUGAUCGGGAUAAUGCUGAUAAUUCAUUAAUAAAGAUUGGUAAUUUUUCCAUAAAGAUUGAUAAUAUAUCCAAUC
rnacentral:lncRNA from 1 species